GGGAUUACCUCAGUAACGGCGAGUGAAGCGGUAACAGCUCAAAUUUGAAAUCUGGCUCUUUCAGGGUCCGAGUUGUAAUUUGUAGACGAUGCUUUGAGUGUGGUGCCGGUCUAAGUUCCUUGGAACAGGACGUCAUAGAGGGUGAGAAUCCCGUAUGUGAUCGGUCGCCUUCGCUCGUGUAAAGCUCGUUCGACGAGUCGAGUUGUUUGGGAAUGCAGCUCAAAAUGGGUGGUAAAUUUCAUCUAAAGCUAAAUAUUGGCCAGAGACCGAUAGCGCACAAGUAGAGUGAUCGAAAGAUGAAAAGCACUUUGGAAAGAGAGUUAAACAGUACGUGAAAUUGUUGAAAGGGAAGCGCUUGCAACCAGACUUGGGCUGUCGCAAUCAUCCGGGGCUCGCCCCGGUGCACUUGUGGCGGCACAGGCCAGCAUCAGUUUCGGUGGUGGGAUAAAGGCCUUGGGAAUGUAGCUUCUUUCGGGGAGUGUUAUAGCCCUCGGUGCAAUGCCGCCUACCGGGACUGAGGAACGCGCUUCGGCGAGGAUGCUGGCGUAAUGGUUGUAAGCGACCCGUCUUGAAACACGGACCAAGGAGUCUAACAUCUAUGCGAGUGUUUGGGUGUCAAACCCAUACGCGUAAUGAAAGUGAACGGAGGUGAGAACCCGUUAGGGUGCAUCAUCGACCGAUCCUGAUGUCUUCGGAUGGAUUUGAGUAAGAGCAUAGCUGUUGGGACCCGAAAGAUGGUGAACUAUGCCUAAAUAGGGUGAAGCCAGAGGAAACUCUGGUGGAGCUCGCAGCGGUUCUGACGUGCAAAUCGAUCGUCAAAUUUGGGUAUAGGGGCGAAAGACUAAUCGAACCA
rnacentral:rRNA from 1 species